AAGAGACAGCAGUCGCCGCGGGAAUACGGAGGGUGCAAGCGUUAAUCGGAAUUACUGGGCGUAAAGCGCACGCAGGCGGUCUGACAAGUCAGAUGUGAAAUCCCCGGGCUUAACCUGGGAACUGCAUUUGAAACUGUCAGGCUGGAGUCUUGUAGAGGGGGGUGGAAUUCCAGGUGUAGCGGUGAAAUGCGUAGAGAUCUGGAGGAAUACCGGUGGCGAAGGCGGCCCCCUGGACAAAGACUGACGCUCAGGUGCGAAAGCGUGGGGAGCAAACAGGAUUAGAGACCCCGGUAGUCCCUGUCUCUUAUAC
rnacentral:rRNA from 1 species